UGCUGAUCGAGCGGAUUUUUUUGUCCAAAAAGACCACCUGACCAGAUGAAUUGACAAAAGAAACUACAUAUGGAUCAAUUUGAUAAAAAAGACCCCCUCAAUGGUGGCGGCAGGUGCGGCAGGCGACACGUGGCACCUGCCGCCACGCCAGGAGGCGACCGGCGAUGGGAUAACGUUUUUCGCACAGUGUGUGUAACAGGAAACGGAAUGGGGCAGGGCAUGUGGGCCCGGCCGCCAUCGUAGUAGGCGGCAGCGUCAGCUAUUGCCGCACCCUAGCCGACAGCUGCUGCAGCUCGCGGGCCGAGGCGUGGGCCCAGCCGCCACCAGCGCUGGCGGCCACCCUACUGCACGCGCGUCCGCCCCAACGCAUAAGGCGCUGAUUCCUCGCAGACAGCCCUCAUUCCCACGCGCGGGAAUCUAUGAACUUUGACCGUUUGUGCCGACACUCAGCGGAUAUGACAGCCCUCAUUCCCACACUGGUUGCUUUGGCGAUGCUGCUCCCCGGGAAUCACUCCGGCUUUUACUUCUUUUGCCCAGCGGAUAUGACGGCACUGCGGGAAUCACUCACACGCUGAGGGAAUCCGAGGCUGUGGGAACCUGUUGUGCCAACACUACAGGGAUCCUCUUUCUUUUAUAUAGUAUGCUUAUGCUCAGUGCGCAAGCACACUGUCUCUGGCCUCCUUGUCUACUCUCUGCGUGUAAGAACAGUGAGAAAGCAAAACUCAGUAGGCACAUUCACUCGUGAUUUAGGGCGAUUUAGAGUUGGAUUUUGAAUAUGCUGAAGUUGAAGAAAAGAUAGACGAGGGUAAGAUCUAUCCAUUUUUGUUGGUUUCGUUCGCAUGCAUGAAGUUUGUACUCUUUUUGUUUAGUUCAUAACUAUGUGUUCUCUGUUGUGUUAGGUAUUAUUUCUUCACUUUUUGGAGUCAUUUAGAGCUUCAGGAGUAGGAUUUGUGUAGCGAAGUGAACUACGAAGUUGAAGACCAAGGUAAAAUAGUUCAUCUUAGUAGCAAACAAGGAGGAGAUGACGUGAUUGAAGAAAUUGUGUUUGCAUCUUCGCUGUCCCUUUUGAGGUGAUGACCACAUACAUGCAAGUGCUAUUUUCAUACUUUUGAUAGCAGAAAGAAAAAUCCGUGUGUAAUAUUGAUGUUCAUGUGAUAAUAGGUUGACUCCGUUCAUAUAGUACUGGUGACGAAAAUUUAUUCAAACUAUUUGAACUCUUAAUUGCAUUCGGAAGCACUAUAUUGGAGCUAAGGUUAUGGGUGAAGUGCCAGUGCUUUUGCAGGGGCCACAUGACGCCGGCCACCGUUGCCACCUAUUUUUGAACCCAAAUAUUAAGCAUGAUGAUCGGCCUUUCAGACUUCGAACCAUAAAAAAACAUGGCCAAUACACAAUGCUUUCCUUACUCACCUUGACGCUUACGGACUACAAGGUUUUGCUAGGCUCACAUCAUGCCACGACCAAGUACGUUCGGACCCAUCCCUUUUGACAUUCUUCGUUGACCGGUGGAGACCUGAAACCCACACCUUUCACUUUCGUUUUGGGGAGCUUGCACCUACACUGAAAGAUGUUUCUAUAAUCACUGCUCUAUCAAUUAGAGGUGAGCCAUUAGUCUCUCCAUGAGUGUCUCCAUCUUGGGUAUUAGAUAUAGCAACCUGUCUUGGGAUGGAAAUGCCAGAAUCACAACAUUCUGGUGGCCCUUAGGGCAUCCCACUCGUCUGGCUUCGUGAUAACUUUCGUAUUUUAUCUAGCUUCGCUAAUGAGGAGACGAGAAAACGACAUCUGUUUGUGUAUUUGUUGUGGC